UGAAUAAACAAGUGUGAAAUUGCAACAACAAAAUAUAUGUUUUUUGAAGAGUGAAAAUCUUGUUCUUAGGAGAGUAUUGUCAGAGAAUGAGGGCCUGUAUUUCUGUGAAGCUCACAAUGAGAGGCAGAAAGUGAUAUCCGAGCCAGCCUACCUCCUGCCUGCAGGUACUUCUUUUUCAGAUGAGCCCACUUUCAUUCCAGGUGGCAGCUGUUCACACAUGUCCUCUAUUUAGCAUAUCCUUUCAUCCCUUCUCACAGUUAUGGAUUGGAUCUUUGUUCUUGAACCUGCCAACCUAGCAGUGAGGAAGGGUGAGUCUGCGACUCUUUCCUGUAGACCUCCUCGCAGCAGACCCCAAGCACAAGUGUCCUGGUUUAAGAACAACAGACUCCUCCAGAAAGGACCGUAUUAUACUUUUGAUCCUAUCGGAGACCUGGUCUUCCACAGGUGUGUUGUGUGGAUUUGUUUGUUUUCUGCAGUUCAUUCUUAUCUAUCCAUUUUUGUACUCUUGUUUUUGCUAAACUGUGAUGUUUAUGUAUAUUUGUGAGCAUGUCCUUAUUAACUCAUAUAAUACUGCAAAUUGAAUCUUGUAAUAUUUAUAUUUUAAUUGUGAAUCUCUGUGUUUCAGUGUACAAGAGACAGACAGUGGAUUCUAUUUCUGCAGAGCAUCUAAUUCCCAUCUCAAAAGGGCUCUCACAUCGAAAAAAAUAUUCCUGGAUGUUCUUGGUCCAUCUGGCCUUAUUAUUUCAGAACCUCCAUCCGUGACUAUCUGGCCGAUGAUGGUAAUGUCUCCUCUUGGAGCUGAAGUGGCGAUUCACUGCCAGGUGUUAGGACACCCUGCCCCUUUCAUCAAGUGGUCAAAGCAGGGCCGGUCUGUCCAAACUGGAGGCAAAAUUAUCAUGAGGUUAAGAAACACAACACUCUACAUUUCAUCAGUGAGAACGUAUGAUGAAGGACAUUACACAUGCGCAGCCUCCAACACACUGGGUCACGAUCAGAAAACCAUGACUCUUCGGGUUGCUGUGAAACCUGUCAUUGUUUCCUUCAUUGCAUCACUCACUGUCUCAGAGGGAUCACCUGUUAGUCUCCCCUGUCGAGCUGUUGGAGAUUUUCCUGUCAAAUACACUUGGAUUAAAACUGCGUCGAUACAAAAUUCACCAGACCAUUCUGGUUCAAACUCUACAGUCUCUCUCCCACAACAGAUACACAUUGAUGGUUUGUUACAUAUUGGACAGAUUGUAGUUUUAUCUUAAGAUGCAGGUUUUCUUUUGUAGGCCAUACUUUAAGUUUUUUUAUUAUUAUUAUUCAUUAAAAAAAAUAUUUUACAGAUAAUGGGACAUUAGUCAUCCCCAACAUCCACCGGUCUGAUGCAGG
ensembl:lncRNA